GUAGAAGUAGUAGUAUUAUAAAAUAAUAAAACAGCUUGGAGUCGAAGUGUACACUUCCCAAGUAUAAAAUAUGUUCGACCGUUUUCAGCCGUGAGAACUAUCUGCCAGAAUUUGGAUGAAACAGACAACAAAGAAUAUUUUUUUGAUCUCAGCUACCAUCCACAAUUACCACUCUACAGUCUAGUUCUGAUAUUUAUCAGGAUCGUUAGCGAUAGCUAUAUUUGGAUUAAUGGAAAUAUAUGGUUCACGCUUCAUGGUUCCGACUGUUACUUUUGUACAUUUCUAAAAAUUGGUAUUGCAAAAAUAUGAUCUGUAUAUAUCCGCAAUUACUUCCUCGUGGCCUUCAGCUUCCUGUGAAAUCGCUCUUAAACACAGGCGAAAUUGUGUCAAUCGCACGAAAGGACGAUUACAUUACAAGCAAAUUUUACAGAAAGAAUUUAAUGAUUUGGGACCUGAGCCUAGCUAAGGAACAUUCUGCGCCGUAAGCAUCGCGAUUAAAUUUGCGAAACUUAAAGGAAAGCGUCAAUGCUGUUAUUAUGACAGAAUCCUGUGGGACAAUGGUCGAAGCUGUUUGAAUGUAUUAAACAGAAGAAGCGUCAAUGGAAGGCUUGUCUAUGGGAUAGCGUGACAAGAGCUCAUAGGCAACAAAAAAGUGCAGAUUGAAAGGAAAGUAUGAAAAAAUUGGUGCAAAUAUUUCUUGUAUUCCACAGAAAUCAGAAAAUAGUAUAGACUGUGUACGUAUAAGAGAGAGUAUCACUUUGAGAGUGUUUGAUGUGUGUUUCUUGUGCUUCAAAAUUGG